UCAGGAGUAGCUCAGUGGUAGAGCAGUUGACUGUUAAUCAAUUGGUCGCGAGUUCGAAUCUCGCCUCCUGAGCCA
rnacentral:tRNA from 1 species